rnacentral:rRNA from 1 species
AUACGGAGGGUCCAAGCGUUAUCCGGAAUCAUUGGGUUUAAAGGGUCCGCAGGCGGUCAAUUAAGUCAGAGGUGAAAGCCCAUCGCUCAACGAUGGAACUGCCUUUGAUACUGGUUGACUUGAGUUAUACGGAAGUAGAUAGAAUAAGUAGUGUAGCGGUGAAAUGCAUAGAUAUUACUUAGAAUACCGAUUGCGAAGGCAGUCUACUACGUAUAUACUGACGCUGAGGGACGAAAGCGAGGGGAGCGAACAGGAUUAGAAACCCUAGUAGUCC